CCUGUCCUCACGUGCCGUGUGUCCUCAGUCUCUCUCCCAUCAGACCACUACAGAGGGCCCCUAUCGUACGCCAUUCCCCGGUGGCGGCGAGGACGGCGAGGAGGAAGGGGGCGGGGCUGGAGUUAUACACAGAUCUCUUUCAAUGAGAAGCCAGCGAGCCAGCCAACUGUCCCAGACAGCUGCGGUGGUGGCCGGGCCAGGCGUAACUGGCUGCCCAGUACCCAGAAUCCUUCCUUUCUUCUCUGCUGCACUGCAUGCAAACAAGGUGGCCACAUUCAAAUGAAUUGACAGAUUUUACAUUCGAUUUGGAACCAAACAUGAGUCUAACUCACUCUGUGGUUGUUGUGACUCGACAAAAACAGUUGUGCCUUAUUGACCCCAGAUGUCUUUUCUUAUUUUUUUCUGAUUAAGCUAUGCUCACUUUCCCAGUUGUUGUCCUACAACGUGAGUGACCAUUUUCUCAUGCAUGCCAUUCUUGUUGCAUUAUUGAGUCACAGAUUGCUCAACGUUUCCUGGGCUUUGUGUGUUCCUGGCUCCCUCUACAUUCCUUAAUGCUAUCAUUCUCCAGGGCAGGGCUGUGAUGUGGCUGCAUGUUUAAAUAAAGCCCCUCUCUCUCUCCGCGUGAGGCUUCAGGUUUGUCAUUGUGGCUGAUGCCAUGUGAUUGUGUCUCGUGAACCACAAGCCGGCAUGGGAUUCCCCUGCUGCCGAUAAGGUCACACACUCAAUCCACCACACUGGCGCCGGUCAAGAGAUCCAUCAACUGCACAGAUGUCUCUCUGGAAGGGCGUCUUCAUCCAGUCCUCGAUGUUACACACGCGCAGCACCCGGCUGGAGUGCCAGCAGACCGACAGCGAGCGCAGAGAGGAGCCCAGCAGGAAAUUGUCCCACCUCAGCUGGCUGGGGGAGCAGAAGCUCAGCAGUGUCCACAGACGGGGGUCCAGGAAGACCUGGCGCAGCGGCUCGCAGGUCAGGGAGAGGCUCCGCCUGCUGUCGUUGUCCAGGAAGGAGAAGAGGUGCAGCAGACACUCGCGGUUCAGCUGGGUGAGAUGCAUGGCCGCGGUGGUGAUCGGGAGCAGGGCUCGGAGAAGGAGAGGGCCUCCAGGCUUGUGGCGGGGUCCCCGUGUUACGGAGCUACAGUGUGCCUUCGGUCAGAAUAUUCUGUGGCCUGGAUACACAAUACCUCCCCAGCCACACACUGGAGCCUUGCACAUAUAAGGUGCUGGAGAGGGGGGCUAUUUUAGGAAGGCAACUGCCGGUACGGUCACAAGAAGGGAGCCAGACGCUCCCUGUCCAGCUGUCAUCGGCCUCUCACAGGGCAGCAAGGAGGCCAGCAGACUGACAGAUGUUUAGGCUUGGUCUGGCCUACUUACAUGUGUGCAUAUACAACUUAAGUGAUGCUGGUCUUUGUACUUCUGUAUAUAUUCCCAAUAGAUGUAGAUGAGUAUGUGACUCAAAGUGGGUUUCUGGUUUAACUGUUGUGUGGUUAUUUGGUGGUUAGAUAAUGCUGUUGCUGGGUUUUUGUAUGUUAAAACAAUGUAUUUCAGAAGGGUUAUUAAUUCAGUACAAAAGUGCAACAAAAAAAUAGGUAAACCGAAUUGAGUCCAGCACAACUAACCUUCUAACACUAAAGUACAGAAUCCAAAUUACCAUUUGUCUACCAGGCCUCACCAGGAG